rnacentral:rRNA from 4 species
GUUAUAUGGUCAAGUGAAGAAGCGCAUACGGUGGAUGCCUUGGCAGUCAGAGGCGAUGAAAGACGUGGUAGCCUGCGAAAAGCUUCGGGGAGUCGGCAAACAGACUGUGAUCCGGAGAUGUCUGAAUGGGGGAACCCAGCCAUCACAAGAUGGUUAUCUUACACUGAAUACAUAGGUGUAAGAGGCGAACCAGGGGAACUGAAACAUCUAAGUACCCUGAGGAAAAGAAAUCAACCGAGAUUCCCUUAGUAGUGGCGAGCGAACGGGGACCAGCCCUUAAGUUGUAUUGAGAUUAGCGGAACGCUCUGGAAAGUGCGGCCAUAGUGGGUGAUAGCCCUGUACGCGAAAAUCCCUUUGCAAUGAAAUCGAGUAGGACGGGGCACGAGAAACCUUGUCUGAAUAUGGGGGGACCAUCCUCCAAGGCUAAAUACUACUGACUGACCGAUAGUGAACCAGUACCGUGAGGGAAAGGCGAAAAGAACCGCGGAGAGCGGAGUGAAAUAGAUCCUGAAACCGUAUGCGUACAAGCAGUGGGAGCCCACUUUGUUGGGUGACUGCGUACCUUUUGUAUAAUGGGUCAGCGACUUAUUUUCAGUGGCGAGCUUAACCGAAUAGGGGAGGCGUAGCGAAAGCGAGUCUUAAUAGGGCGUCUAGUCGCUGGGAAUAGACCCGAAACCGGGCGAUCUAUCCAUGGGCAGGUUGAAGGUUGGGUAACACUAACUGGAGGACCGAACCGACUACCGUUGAAAAGUUAGCGGAUGACCUGUGGAUCGGAGUGAAAGGCUAAUCAAGCUCGGAGAUAGCUGGUUCUCCUCGAAAGCUAUUUAGGUAGCGCCUCAUGUAUCACUGUAGGGGGUAGAGCACUGUUUCGGCUAGGGGGUCAUCCCGACUUACCAAACCGAUGCAAACUCCGAAUACCUACAAGUGCCGAGCAUGGGAGACACACGGCGGGUGCUAACGUCCGUCGUGAAAAGGGAAACAACCCAGACCGUCAGCUAAGGUCCCAAAGUCAUGGUUAAGUGGGAAACGAUGUGGGAAGGCUUAGACAGCUAGGAGGUUGGCUUAGAAGCAGCCACCCUUUAAAGAAAGCGUAAUAGCUCACUAGUCGAGUCGGCCUGCGCGGAAGAUGUAACGGGGCUCAAACCAUGCACCGAAGCUACGGGUAUCACCUUUGGUGAUGCGGUAGAGGAGCGUUCUGUAAGCCUGUGAAGGUGAGUUGAGAAGCUUGCUGGAGGUAUCAGAAGUGCGAAUGCUGACAUGAGUAACGACAAUGGGUGUGAAAAACACCCACGCCGAAAGACCAAGGUUUCCUGCGCAACGUUAAUCGACGCAGGGUUAGUCGGUCCCUAAGGCGAGGCUGAAAAGCGUAGUCGAUGGAAAACAGGUUAAUAUUCCUGUACUUCUGGUUAUUGCGAUGGAGGGACGGAGAAGGCUAGGCCAGCCUGGCGUUGGUAGUCCAGGUUUAAGGUGGUAGGCUGAGAUCUUAGGUAAAUCCGGGAUCUUAAGGCCGAGAGCUGAUGACGAGUGUUCUUUUAGAACAUGAAGUGGUUGAUGCCAUGCUUCCAAGAAAAGCUUCUAAGCUUCAGGUAACCAGGAACCGUACCCCAAACCGACACAGGUGGUUGGGUAGAGAAUACCAAGGCGCUUGAGAGAACUCGGGUGAAGGAACUAGGCAAAAUGGCACCGUAACUUCGGGAGAAGGUGCGCCGGUGAGGGUGAAGCAUUUACUGCGUAAGCCCACGCCGGUCGAAGAUACCAGGCCGCUGCGACUGUUUAUUAAAAACACAGCACUCUGCAAACACGAAAGUGGACGUAUAGGGUGUGACGCCUGCCCGGUGCCGGAAGGUUAAUUGAUGGGGUUAGCGCAAGCGAAGCUCUUGAUCGAAGCCCCGGUAAACGGCGGCCGUAACUAUAACGGUCCUAAGGUAGCGAAAUUCCUUGUCGGGUAAGUUCCGACCUGCACGAAUGGCGUAACGAUGGCGGCGCUGUCUCCACCCGAGACUCAGUGAAAUUGAAAUCGCUGUGAAGAUGCAGUGUAUCCGCGGCUAGACGGAAAGACCCCGUGAACCUUUACUAUAGCUUUGCACUGGACUUUGAAUUUGCUUGUGUAGGAUAGGUGGGAGGCUUUGAAGCGUGGACGCCAGUCUGCGUGGAGCCAACCUUGAAAUACCACCCUGGCAACUUUGAGGUUCUAACUCAGGUCCGUUAUCCGGAUCGAGGACAGUGUAUGGUGGGUAGUUUGACUGGGGCGGUCUCCUCCUAAAGAGUAACGGAGGAGUACGAAGGUGCGCUCAGACCGGUCGGAAAUCGGUCGUAGAGUAUAAAGGCAAAAGCGCGCUUGACUGCGAGACAGACACGUCGAGCAGGUACGAAAGUAGGUCUUAGUGAUCCGGUGGUUCUGUAUGGAAGGGCCAUCGCUCAACGGAUAAAAGGUACUCCGGGGAUAACAGGCUGAUACCGCCCAAGAGUUCAUAUCGACGGCGGUGUUUGGCACCUCGAUGUCGGCUCAUCACAUCCUGGGGCUGAAGCCGGUCCCAAGGGUAUGGCUGUUCGCCAUUUAAAGUGGUACGCGAGCUGGGUUUAGAACGUCGUGAGACAGUUCGGUCCCUAUCUGCCGUGGACGUUUGAGAUUUGAGAGGGGCUGCUCCUAGUACGAGAGGACCGGAGUGGACGAACCUCUGGUGUUCCGGUUGUCACGCCAGUGGCAUUGCCGGGUAGCUAUGUUCGGAAAAGAUAACCGCUGAAAGCAUCUAAGCGGGAAACUUGCCUCAAGAUGAGAUCUCACUGGAACCUAGAGUUCCCUGAAGGGCCGUCGAAGACUACGACGUUGAUAGGUUGGGUGUGUAAGCGCUGUGAGGCGUUGAGCUAACCAAUACUAAUUGCCCGUGAGGCUUGACCAUAUAACACCCAAGCAAUU